CGCAGCAGGCGCGAAAACUUUACAAUGCUGGAAACAGCGAUAAGGGGACCUCGAGUGCCAGGUUACAAAUCUGGCUGUCGUGAUGCCUAAAAAGCAUUGCAUAGCAAGGGCCGGGCAAGACCGGUGCCAGCCGCCGCGGUAACACCGGCGGCUCGAGUGGUAACCGUUAUUAUUGGGUCUAAAGGGUCUGUAGCCGGCCAGAUAAGUCUCUUGGGAAAUCCAGCAGCUCAACUGUUGGGCUUUCAGGAGAUACUGUCUGGCUCGAGGCCGGGAGAGGUGAGAGGUACUUCAGGGGUAGGGGUGAAAUCUUGUAAUCCUUGAAGGACCACCAGUGGCGAAGGCGUCUCACCAGAACGGACCUGACGGCAAGGGACGAAAGCUAGGGGCACGAACCGGAUUAGAUACCCGGGUAGUCCUAGCCGUAAACGAUACUCGCUAGGUGUCGGCCACGGUGCGACCGUUGUCGGUGCCGUAGGGAAGCCGUGAAGCGAGCCACCUGGGAAGUACGGCCGCAAGGCUGAAACUUAAAGGAAUUGGCGGGGGAGCAC
rnacentral:rRNA from 1 species